rnacentral:pre_miRNA from 1 species
AAGGCUCUUUAACUUUAUUAAAGCAGGGGGUCUAGUAGUUUAACUAUUUAGAAGAUAGAUUUUAAAUAAGGCUCUUUAACUUAUGAUAUAUUUAAAAGCUAUCUUCUAACUAGUUAAACUACCAGACCCCUGCUUUAAUAUAAAGUAAUAAUCACCCUU